rnacentral:rRNA from 1 species
UACAGAGGGUGCGAGCGUUAAUCGGAAUUACUGGGCGUAAAGCGUGCGUAGACGGUUAUUUAAGUCGGAUGUGAAAGCCCCGGGCUCAACCUGGGAAUUGCAUUCGAGACUGAAUAGCUAGGGUACGGUAGAGGGAAGUGGAAUUUCCGGUGUAGCGGUGAAAUGCGUAGAUAUCGGAAGGAACAUCAGUGGCGAAAGCGGCUUCCUGGACCAGAACUGACGAUCAGGCUCGAAAGCGUGGGGAGCAAACAGG